rnacentral:rRNA from 1 species
GACGAACGCUGGCGGCGUGCUUAACACAUGCAAGUCGAGCGGUAAGGCCCUUUCGGGGGUACACGAGCGGCGAACGGGUGAGUAACACGUGGGUGACCUGCCCUCAGCUCUGGGAUAAGCCCGGGAAACUGGGUCUAAUACCGGAUAUGACUCCAUGACGCAUGUUGUGGGGUGGAAAGCCUUGUGCGGCUGAGGAUGGGCCCGCGGCCUAUCAGCUUGUUGGUGGGGUGAUGGCCUACCAAGGCGACGACGGGUAGCCGGCCUGAGAGGGCGACCGGCCACACUGGGACUGAGAUACGGCCCAGACUCCUACGGGAGGCAGCAGUGGGGAAUCUUGCGCAAUGGGCGAAAGCCUGACGACAGCGACGCCGCGUGAGGGAUGACGGCCU